CCUCAUAACAUAUCWAURCCGCAUGACUUUKUUAUCAAAGAUUUAUCACUCAGAGAUGGGCUCGMGUCUGAUUAGAUAGUUGGUGAGGUAACGGCUCACCAAGUSGACGAUCAGUAGCCGGACUGAGAGGUUGAACGGCCACAUUGGGACUGAGACACGGCCCAGACUCCUACGGGAGGCAGCAGUGGGGAAUAUUGCACAAUGGGGGAAACCCUGAUGCAGCGAUGCCGCGUGGAGGAAGAAGGUUUUCGGAUUGUAAACUCCUGUCUUAAAGGACGAUAAUGACGGGUACUU
rnacentral:rRNA from 1 species